CAUCUAUUAUUAUUAUUAUUAUACAAAUAAACUAACCUUGAACUGUUUUAGAAUAAAAUGGCUUUAAGGGAAUAUUUAGGGGUGUUUGGGGCUAAGGCGAUAAAUGGGUGUCCUGACCAAUUAGAGAGUCAGUGAGUUGAUCAACCUGUCGAAAUGUGCUUUGGAGAGAUACUCAACCCCAAUUGCUCCUAUCUUUUGAAGUGUAUGUCAGCACUUUGGGAGAAAAACAUCAGCUACAUUAUGAAAUGUAAUAUAAGGUAAAACAUUACCAACUGGACAUGACUAUAAUGGACAGAUUUUCAAUUAAUUGCUAAGUUUUUAAUAAGUUACCUGCUAAAAGACAUUUUGUGAACUUGUUUGAGAAUAACAAUCAUGUUGUCCCUCCAAAAAAAUGAAAGGUACAGAGAUUUCUCCGAUAAAGUUAUGUCUUAGUGAUCUACUGACAAAAACAAAACAUAACUACAAAUCUUAUUCUUUGUAAGUUAAGUUUAGGUACUGAAAAUGUAAAUAUUUUGUAUGAACAGAACAAUUGACGCUUUUAUGUCCAUUUUGAUCUCAAAUCCAUUCGCCUUUUGAAUGCUCAGCUCUACCCUGAUGUAAGCCUGUAACUAUAUCUCACUUCUCACCGUGUGUGUGUGUUUACGCUCUGCAGGCCGGGGGAGAUUGGAAAGAGGAAGCACAUCUGUCACGUCAUCGGCUGCGAGAAGACGUUCAGGAAAACGUCGCUUCUCAGAGCUCACGUCCGGCUGCACACCGGAGAGAGACCCUUCGUCUGCAACUGGGUUUUCUGUGGGAAACGAUUCACACGCAGCGACGAACUGCAGCGGCACGCCAGGACGCACACAGGAGACAAGCGCUUCGAGUGCACCCAGUGUCAGAAACGCUUCAUGAGGAGUGACCACCUGACGAAGCAUUAUAAGACUCACAUUAACACCAAGAACCUGUGAGCUGCUGCCCAACGUUUACACAGACAAACUCUAUGAAACUAAAGACAGUAUUAGAGGACGGAGGGGCAGAGGAGACGAUACCAAGGGAGUGUCUGUGACUUCUCCCGUUAUGGGAAAUACUCCAAAAAGAAGUCCCUAUAUCCCCUCUCACUCUGGGCACUGUGUACUACUGUGUAGCAUGGUGUACAAAGAAAACCUUCCUAGUGGACUUCAGACGGAUCCAGCAAACGUAUGAAUAAUAGUUUUAUGUAUCUUUUUUUUCCUCGAGCUCCGACUGACCGUGCAAAAAUGAUGGGGAUUCAGACGCUUAUUUGCUUAUUUAUAAACCUCUCUGGAUGAAGAUCAUACAUGUUAUUAUUCAGACGCCAAGACCACAAGACUCUAUAUACAGUUCCCGUCUUUUUGUAUUUUUUAUUUCCCCCACUUGGUUUUUCAAUUGUUUGUAGUGAGUAAGAGCUCCCAAAAAUUGGCUUUAAAGCACCAAAAAAGGCAAAAAUAAUACAAUUGUUUUGUACAUUUCAUAGAAAUAUGUUUUACCUCAGUGAAAUGUUCAUUGUGUGCUUAAGUUAUUUGUGUUUUAGCAGGAGUGUCUGCUGAUUUAAAACCUGAAAAACAGUUAAACACAAACUCCCCUUACAGACUUUUGGAAACCUUUAGAAGUUUUGGCUAUUUUUUAAAGUGUGUGUGUAUUCAUACUAAUAAACAUAACAUUAUUAAUGAUGAUAAACUAACAAUUUUUUCAUACAAUUGUUAGAAAUUCACUCACAAAUAUGUAAACAGAUCUUGACAUCGAAAAAGAAAUGAGACGCGGAAGAGUAUGUAAAGACAAGAACUCGGCAAAAAUCUUUCAGUCUCAGGCUUAGAUUUCAUAUGCAGUCGAGGGCCAGAAGUCACUGAUCCUUUUAACAAAAAAAAUAAAAUGUAUAUUUCAAAAUCAACUUCAAAAGAAACUGGCAAAAUAGGGAAAUCCGAGUAGUUUAGUAAUAUAUUGGUGAACAUCCAGCUGGAAAUUAUACAUAUUGUUGUCCAAAUACAACAUUAAGGACACAUAUCAAUAUCAGAAAACGUUACAAAAUCAAUUACCGGUAAAUACAUUUCGCUUAGUCUGAGAUAUGCAAGACUGAACAUUACAUUUCAAGUAUUGACAAUUUUGGUCAAGAUUAAGGAACAUUUCGACUUAGAGAAAAGCUGGUUAAGGGGCUUAAGUGAGUCUCCUAUUAUGAUUAGGUGUAAUAUCACAAAGUGCAAACAUAUAAUUAGAGAAUGAUGGAGGACCCAGGCUUGAUCCUUGUGGAACACCAAAUAUGAUUAUACCAAAUGUUCUGAGUGAUUGGUCAGUAUGUUAAUGAUAUAAAAGCAGGAUGUCACCUAUUACCAACUUCAAGGAAAUUAUACUCUCUUAUUAUUAUUGGAUUCAUGUAGAGGAAACGCUUAAGUAUCAUGUUUUUUAGGAGUUUGUGACUGAAUCAAUAACUUGAUGUCCAAGGAGAGUCAUUAUUUCACAUAUAAAUCAAUGUAAACUACCUAAAAAUGUCUUCUUUCUUAGAGAAGUACUGCAAAAACGUUCAUAUUUCUGGAAUACCUUUUAAUUCCCUGUGUUGUCAAGAGGCUGAGUUUAAAACCCUGAAACAAUAAUUAAGUAUAUAAACUAAUAAUAACAAAUUAUCAAAAUAACUUGUAUAAUAAAGUUUGAGAAUUACGGUCAAAGAGGUCUCUUAAGUCUCCAGGUGCUAAGGAUUUAAUUCAGUUCAAUAUGAGUUGGUUUUCCAUCUUCAAUAUUACAAAAGGUACGCUUACGUCUAGGGCUGGGUAUCGAGGUUGUCAUUUAUUGAGAUUUCUAAUAUUUGGCCAAGUUAAUUCUCUUAACUUGUUCUUUAUCACAUAUUUCCUGAUUUAAAUCAAAAACGUUGGGUGGUUUUAACACAGUUCUCUGUUAGGUUCUUGAAUGGCUGCUUGUGUUUUUUAGACAUUUUAUUUUAACAUGAACUCUCCUGUUAUUAACCGGAAAUGUUUUUUGUUUGUUUUUUAUUCAAAUGUUUCUACUUCAUCUUGUUAGGUAUCAAAAAAAGAAUGAUACCCAGCCCUACCUACACUAUGUGUACUAAUAAAUAACUAGGGUAACUGCUAUUCUGCUUCACUCAUGGUAUCAUUUUGAUUUGAGGAUUUGUAGCCUAUGCAUUGCUGUAUAUACGAUCAGAUUUACAAUGAUUUGGCCUAACUUGACAAUCACUCGCCGAGAUGAAAAAGUUAUCUUUCUCAGGCCUUUGAUUCGUCGCUUUAUACAUGCCUUUUUUCCAGCUAUGUGAUAGCUUUAAUUCUGAAUUAACACUUUUUGUUGAUAUACAGAUGACCAGCAUUAGACCUACUGUACAGUAUUCACAUAAUUUACUUUAAUGUCUUGUGCUUUACAGAAAACAUUGUUGCUCAUUUUUUGAAAUAUUGAAGAUGAACUGACCUUUUUCCUAACAUGUCAUCAGACAGUUUGAAGUCAAAUGUGUGCAGGGGUUCCUUUUGUUUAGAUAAAUACACCAAGCUAUUGUAAAAUAAGCUUUUUGGUCAAAUUAGCACGGUGCCAUCGGACAGCAGGUACCUCUGCUUUGAGUUUUCACUGUUUCAAUACAUGCUAAACAGCUUUGACCAAAAAGCUAAAGUCAGAUUUAUUUUAAAAGUACUUUGAAGCAUUUUCCUCAAAGUGCUUCACAAGGGGCGACAGAUAAGCUUAAGCUUACAUGCAGGUGGCCAAUAUUUGGUGUAUUUUUUCAAGAAUGUGUCUGAAGACAUGCCAUUGGGGGAUGGAUAGACAGAGCGUGCUCAUAUUUAUGUUUGUAUUUCAUGUCUGGAUAAUGUAAAUACAGUGUGUGUCUGGUAGACACCGUAAAUGUAGGAUAUUAAAACCCAAAAGUUAAGCUGCCUAGUGUUGUGGUCGGCGAGGCCGGCCUGAAGGAAACAGACUUUGUACAGUGUGUAAGGAAUAAAAUAUAAUGUAACAUUGUAUAGCUUCAUUCCUGCUUUGUAUAGGACUUUGAGAUCUUUUUUCUAUUGAAUUAAAGAUGCCUUAGACAGCUGCUCCCAGUAUUCAAAAAUAGUCUAAUUCCAGGUAACAACAUUUGUACAAUUAUUUUAUGUUUUUUAACUUCUGUUACAUGCUAAUGUAAUGUGCACUAAUUUAAAAUCCCAGGUUCCUAAAUUUGUAAAUUUGAUCUUCAUUGUAAUUCAGUUUAAUGAGAUUUUUCCAAAUUGAGACAUUUCUAUUGGUUGGUUUCGGUGAAUGAAAUGCUUCUCCUUCUCCAAGCCUGUAUGUUGUACAUUGUUCUGCAGCCAUGUGUUUUGUUUGUUUGGAGAACCCAGAGAACCAGCAAUUCCUUUUUUGUUACUUCUGUAAAGUUACUGAAAAUAAAGUUUGCUCCUUUUCUACAGUCACCUCCCUUAAUAAAGAACUCAUAAAUAAUAAA